rnacentral:lncRNA from 1 species
UAGAGAAUAAAAGUAAAUAAAUAAAGACACGGGAGAUGUGAUCAGUUACAGAAUGAUCGCCCAAAUCUUGGCAACUUCUGAUAAACUAUAAGAAAAAGUAAAAAACAUUACAAGGACAAUUACUAAUAUUCUCCCAAACGUCACAAAGCUGUCAGAACACAAACUCCUAGGAUUCCCAUUCCCAAAUAUGAUCCUAAUAUUUUUUUCUUUCAGCGCAUGCGCUAUUAUUCGCCCGCUACUUACGAACUUAAAAAGAGAAGAAUCUGUCCUUUCUCACAAAAGUUUCAAGUUGUCUUUCGAAUCAAAAGAUGAAAUUGGUUAAGAUCUUUAAAAAGUUUGCUUGUUGAAAAGGAAUUGGUAACAUUCUUGUUCACUGGUGGCUGCAACUUCAGGCGUUGUUUUUCCAGGAACACAUUGUUGGCAGGAUGGCAUACCUCUAGACCUGAAAUAGCCUCUCUGGCAGGGAACACAUUCCCCAUUCUCAUCUAACUCAUAUCCUGACAGGCAUUCCUCUGCAGAGUAUAAUGAAGGAAGAAGGAAUUUUCCGGGUUUUUGUAAAACAAUUUCAAUUUUCUAUGACUAUUCCCUGAUUUUUGGAGUUGAAAUAAAAUUCCCUGACAAUUCCAGGUUUUUCCUGUUCUCCCUGACCCGUGGGAACCCUGAAUUUUCAUUUUUCUCCCACUAAUUUUACUAUAUUACAAUAAAUUGGUUAAAAUUAUAUCUUUA